rnacentral:lncRNA from 1 species
AACAAUGCCCCAUGCGUCCCAUAUAUAACACAGAAUUAUUUUUUUUGAUCAGCUUUUCAUAAUUUAUUUUACAGUGGACAAUCUGCAUCUCGGAUUGUCAUCUGUAAGAGAAAGCGAGGUGACAUCAUGGUCAGAAACUGUGUGCAUUUCAAUUGAAAGUAUCAUUGCCACCAAGAGAGUAUGAGUUUUCUAAGUCUAUCCAAACUUUUUUGUAUUAUUAAUUUCUUCUUAUCCCUCAGUGUAAGACUUGUACAGACCAAGAGGGAAGAUACCUACUCAUCUCCUGGUUGAAAACAUGUGCCCUGCACUUCAAGCAUGAUGUGCAAGAAGAUAUCCUUCUUGAUAGUCAUUUGCAGAAAAGUAAAAAUAGAUGCCUUGUUUAGAAAUGAAAUAGCUUCAGCAUCUGGCCUGGCUUUACAAGACAACAUGCAUGUGAAGAAUCCUUAGGAAACCAAAUAACUCAGGUAUUAAGGUGUAAUCAUGCAGGCAAACGCAAAGUAUCCUGGAGUGUACAUAAGGAACCCAUUACUGAGUCACUGUCAUUUUAACAGUAGGGAGCUUGACUCCCUGAGGUGUCCCUAAAGCAUUUCAGGCUCACUGAGUCAGGACUAAAUAAUACCCAGCUGGGUAAGAACAAACACCUGUCAGAUAAUCUAGCUAAUAGCUGGUUUAGUUAUCAGUGCUCUUCUCUACCUGCCUCCUCUUCCCCCUGCCUUUCUGAAUGUAUGAUGCAUUUCCCACAACAUCAUGUUUAAAAGCUUCAA